CGGGCCAUAGUAUAGUGGUAGUACACAAGGCUGGGGGUCUUGUAGUGGCAGUUCGAUUCUGCCUGGCCCGA
rfam:Candidatus Sungbacteria bacterium RIFCSPLOWO2_01_FTLL_47_10 rifcsplowo2_01_scaffold_14542, whole genome shotgun sequence.